rnacentral:rRNA from 1 species
AUAGAUUCUUUGAGAGAAGUGCCGUUUGGACGUAUACACAGGUGGUGCAUGGCUGUCGUCCCUCGUGUCGUGAGAUGUUGGGUUAAGUCCCGCAACGAGCGCAACCCUUGUUUUUAGUUGCCUUUCAUGGAACUCUAAAAAGACUGCUGGUUAUAAACCGGAGGAAGGUGGGGAUGACGUCAAGUCAGCAUGCCCCUUACACCCUGGGCUACACACGUGCUACAUUGGGCGAGACAAUGAGAUGCAAAUCUGCAAAGACUAGCUAAUCUAUAAACUCGUUCUAAGUUCGGAUUGUAGGCUGCAACUCGCCUACAUGAAGGUGGAAUCGCUAGUAAUCGCUGGUCAGCUAUACAGUGGUGAAUUCGUUCCCGGGCCUUGUACACACCGCCCGUCACACCAUGGAAGCUGGUUAUGCCCGAAAUCAUUACUCUAACCGUUUGGGGGAGGGUGCCUAAGGUAGAAUUAGUGACUGGGGUGAAGUCGUCGUAACAAGGUAACCGUA